rnacentral:rRNA from 1 species
GACGAACGCUGGCGGCGUGCCUAAUACAUGCAAGUAGAACGCUGAAGGAGGAGCUUGCUUCUCUGGAUGAGUUGCGAACGGGUGAGUAACGCGUAGGUAACCUGCCUGGUAGCGGGGGAUAACUAUUGGAAACGAUAGCUAAUACCGCAUAAGAGUAGAUGUUGCAUGACAUUUGCUUAAAAGGUGCAAUUGCAUCACUACCAGAUGGACCUGCGUUGUAUUAGCUAGUUGGUGGGGUAACGGCUCACCAAGGCGACGAUACAUAGCCGACCUGAGAGGGUGAUCGGCCACACUGGGACUGAGACACGGCCCAGACUCCUACGGGAGGCAGCAGUAGGGAAUCUUCGGCAAUGGACGGAAGUCUGACCGAGCAACGCCGCGUGAGUGAAGAAGGUUUUCGGAUCGUAAAGCUCUGUUGUAAGAGAAGAACAAGUGUGAGAGUGGAAAGUUCACACUGUGACGGUAUCUUACCAGAAAGGGACGGCUAACUACGUG